AUGUACCACCCGACACUGCGUUGCUGAUCUGCCGUUCGCGCCCACCUGACGACUGCGCACGACGUUCUGUUACCC
rnacentral:sRNA from 1 species